rnacentral:snRNA from 1 species
AGCUUUGCGCAGUGGCGGUAUCGUAGCCAAUGAGGUUUAUCCGAGGCGCGAUUAUUGCUAAUUGAAAUGGGGGAGAGUAUUUUGAAGAAGAUUAAUGACAGUAUGUCUUUUACUGCAGUAACUUUUUAAAAAUUAAAGUAUU